UGCAGAAUCCCGUGAACCAUCGAGUUUUUGAACGCAAGUUGCGCCUGAGGCCAGCCGGCCAAGGGCACGUCCGCCUGGGCGUCA
rnacentral:rRNA from 2 species